AGUUUGAUCAUGGCUCAGAACGAACGCUGGCGGCAUGCCUAACACAUGCAAGUCGAACGAGACCUUCGGGUCUAGUGGCGCACGGGUGCGUAACGCGUGGGAAUCUGCCCUUGGGUUCGGAAUAACAGCGAGAAAUUGCUGCUAAUACCGGAUGAUGACGUAAGUCCAAAGAUUUAUCGCCCAAGGAUGAGCCCGCGUAGGAUUAGCUAGUUGGUGAGGUAAAGGCUCACCAAGGCGACGAUCCUUAGCUGGUCUGAGAGGAUGAUCAGCCACACUGGGACUGAGACACGGCCCAGACUCCUACGGGAGGCAGCAGUGGGGAAUAUUGGACAAUGGGCGCAAGCCUGAUCCAGCCAUGCCGCGUGAGUGAUGAAGGCCUUCGGGUUGUAAAGCUCUUUCGCACGCGACGAUGAUGACGGUAGCGUGAGAAGAAGCCCCGGCUAACUUCGUG
rnacentral:rRNA from 1 species